AAGAAUUAUAGGACCUGUGAUGUGGGUGUCGUGGUUUAACCCCCCAGCUGAAACCAGCUCAGUGGUGAAGGUAGAAGAUAAAUGAAAGACCUACUUAGAUGGAGCAAACCAAGUUUAUUUCAGUA